rnacentral:rRNA from 1 species
CCAGACUCCUACGGGAGGCAGCAGUGGGGAAUAUUGCACAAUGGGGGAAACCCUGAUGCAGCAACGCCGCGUGAGUGAAGAAGUAUUUCGGUAUGUAAAGCUCUAUCAGUAGGGAAGAAAAUGACGGUACCUGAGUAAGAAGCCCCGGCUAACUACGUGCCAGCAGCCGCGGUAAUACGUAGGGGGCAAGCGUUAUCCGGAUUUACUGGGUGUAAAGGGAGCGUAGACGGCGAUACAAGUCUGAAGUGAAAGCCCGGGGCUCAACCCCGGGACUGCUUUGGAAACUGUGUUGCUGGAGUGCCGGAGAGGCAAGCGGAAUUCCUAGUGUAGCGGUGAAAUGCGUAGAUAUUAGGAAGAACACCAGUGGCGAAGGCGGCUUGCUGGACAGUAACUGACGUUGAGGCUCGAAAGCGUGGGGAGCAAACAGGAUUAGAUACCCCCGUAU